AAUGCUGUGAUGAGGUGAAGCACCAUAUGGUGUUUAAGGGCAGUGGAAGAGAGUUUAAUAGCUUUCUCCGUGAGCCUAUUUUAUUAACGACUUCUCCUUCCACUGAGCAUU